rnacentral:rRNA from 1 species
CAAUAGCGUAUAUUAAAGUUGUUGCGGUAAAAAAGCUCGUAGUUGGAUUUCUGUUGAGAGCGACCGGUCCAUACCAUGUAUGCGUAUCUGGCUUGCUCUCGGCAUCCUCUCGAUAGACGUUACUGCGCUUGAUUGCGUGGUGCGGAUCUCGGGACUUUUACUUUGAGGAAAUUAGAGUGUUCACGGCAGGCUUUCGCCAGAAUACAUUAGCAUGGAAUAAUACUAUAGGAUCAUGGUUCUAUUUUGUUGGUUUCUAGAAUUGAGAUAAUGAUUAAUAGGGACAAUUGGGGGCAUUCGUAUCAACACGUCAGAGGUGGAAUUCUUGGAUUGUGUUGCGACGAACUACUGCGAAAGCAUUUGCCAAGGAUGUUUUCAUUGA